rnacentral:rRNA from 1 species
AUUGAACGCUGGCGGCAUGCUUUACACAUGCAAGUCGGACGGCAGCACAGAGAAGCUUGCUUCUUGGGUGGCGAGUGGCGCACGGGUGAGUAACAUAUCGGAGCGUACCGAGCAGUGGGGGAUAACUAAUCGAAAGAUUAGCUAAUACCGCAUAUUUUCUGAGGAAGAAAGCAGGGGACCUUUGGGCCUUGCGCUGUUUGAGCGGCCGAUAUCUGAUUAGCUAGUUGGUGGGGUAAAGGCCUACCAAGGCGACGAUCAGUAGCGGGUCUGAGAGGAUGAUCCGCCACACUGGGACUGAGACACGGCCCAGACUCCUACGGGAGGCAGCAGUGGGGAAUGUUGGACAAGGGGCGCAAGCCUGAUCCAGCCAGGCCGCGUGUCUGAAGAAGGCCUUCGGGUUGUAAAGGACUUUUGUCAGGGAAGAAAAGGGCGGGGUUAAUACCCCUGUCUGAUGACGGUACCUGAAGAAUAAGCACCGGCUAACUACGUG